UACUAAGGUAGCAGUUGGUAGUUUCCAGCCACAGAUUCGAAUUGGCCAGGGUCAAAAUCUGUCAUUAGAGAUAAAACCUUGAAGUGAAGGCAGUUUUGAUGUUUGAAAUAUUUGUUGAUGUGAGUUUGUGAUUAACAAGUUUAAGAAUGGUAUGUUGCAGAAAUUCUGGCAGAUGCGAAUGUAAGCUUGAUGGCAUCAUUUUCAUAUAACUGCUUGAAAUGCAUAUAUGCCACUAUCAGCAUUGAGCGUCUCGUGAACUGUCAAAUGUCAUAUAGGCCUCACACAGUUGAAAAUAGUGAAAAAAGUAAUCGGUUGACAGGUCUGCAUCUCGUAAGAUAUCGGAAGCCGUCUGACUUGGCCACAUCGCUCGGAAGUCUGAAGUACUAGAAAAAACCGCCAUCUGCUACCUUAAUUAAGACAUUUGUCAAUUUUUGUCUGCAUCUCGUAAGAUAUCGGAAGCCGUCUGACUUGGCCACAUCACUCGGAAGUCCGAAGUACUAGAAAAAACCGC